GCGGAUGUGGUGAAAUGGGAAACACGCUAGAUUUAGGAUCUAGUACUAUAAAAAGUAUUAAGGGUUCGAAUCCCUUCAUCCGCA
rnacentral:tRNA from 1 species